UACAGAGGGUGCGAGCGUUGUCCGGAAUCACUGGGCGUAAAGGGCGCGUAGGCGGCUCGGUCAGCGUGCGGUGAAAGCCCGGGGCUCAACCCCGGGUCGGCCGUGCGAACUGCUGGGCUGGAGCACUGUAGAGGCAGGCGGAAUUCCGGGUGUAGCGGUGGAAUGCGUAGAGAUCCGGAAGAACACCGGUGGCGAAGGCGGCCUGCUGGGCAGUUGCUGACACUGAGGCGCGACAGCGUGGGGAGCAAACAGG
rnacentral:rRNA from 1 species